rnacentral:rRNA from 1 species
UACGUAGGGUGCGAGCGUUAAUCGGAAUUACUGGGCGUAAAGCGUGCGCAGGCGGUGAGCUGUGUCCGAUGUGAAAGCCCCGGGCUUAACCUGGGAAUGGCAUUGGAAACUGGCUCGCUGGAGUGUGGCAGAGGGGGGUGGAAUUCCGCGUGUAGCAGUGAAAUGCGUAGAGAUGCGGAGGAACACCGAUGGCGAAGGCAGCCCCCUGGGCUAACACUGACGCUCAGGCACGAAAGCAUGGGGAUCAAACAGG